GAGCGAACGGACGAGAAGCUUGCUUCUCUGAUGUUAGCGGCGGACGGGUGAGUAACACGUGGAUAACCUACCUAUAAGACUGGGAUAACUUCGGGAAACCGGAGCUAAUACCGGAUAAUAUUUUGAACCGCAUGAUUCAAAAGUGAAAGACGGUCUUGCUGUCACUUAUAGAUGGAUCCGCGCUGCAUUAGCUAGUUGGUAAGGUAACGGCUUACCAAGGCAACGAUGCAUAGCCGACCUGAGAGGGUGAUCGGCCACACUGGAACUGAGACACGGUCCAGACUCCUACGGGAGGCAGCAGUAGGGAAUCUUCCGCAAUGGGCGAAAGCCUGACGGAGCAACGCCGCGUGAGUGAUGAAGGUCUUCGGAUCGUAAAACUCUGUUAUUAGGGAAGAACAUAUGUGUAAGUAACUGCGCACAUCUUGACGGUACCUAAUCAGAAAGCCACGGCUAACUACGUGCCAGCAGCCGCGGUAAUACGUAGGUGGCAAGCGUUAUCCGGAAUUAUUGGGCGUAAAGCGCGCGUAGGCGGUUUUUUAAGUCUGAUGUGAAAGCCCACGGCUCAACCGUGGAGGGUCAUUGGAAACUGGAAAACUUGAGUGCAGAAGAGGAAAGUGGAAUUCCAUGUGUAGCGGUGAAAUGCGCAGAGAUAUGGAGGAACACCAGUGGCGAAGGCGACUUUCUGGUCUGUAACUGACGCUGAUGUGCGAAAGCGUGGGGAUCAAACUAGGAUUAGAUACCUCUGGUAGUCCU
rnacentral:rRNA from 1 species